UACCUGGUGGUCUAGCGGCUAAGGAUUCCAUUCUCUCAUUGCUGUGGCCCGCGUUCGAUUCUCAGGCUGGGAAC